GGUUCCAUAGUGUAACACAGUUAUCACGUCUGCUUUACACGCAGAAGGUCCUGGGUUCAAUCCCCAGUGGAACCA